GAUGAACGCUGGCGGCGUGCCUAAUACAUGCAAGUCGAGCGAACAGAUGAGGAGCUUGCUCCUCUGAUGUUAGCGGCGGACGGGUGAGUAACACGUGGAUAACCUACCUAUAAGACUGGGAUAACUUCGGGAAACCGGAGCUAAUACCGGAUAAUAUUUUGAACCGCAUGGUUCAAUAGUGAAAGACGGUUUUGCUGUCACUUAUAGAUGGAUCCGCGCUGCAUUAGCUAGUUGGUAAGGUAACGGCUUACCAAGGCAACGAUGCGUAGCCGACCUGAGAGGGUGAUCGGCCACACUGGAACUGAGACACGGUCCAGACUCCUACGGGAGGCAGCAGUAGGGAAUCUUCCGCAAUGGGCGAAAGCCUGACGGAGCAACGCCGCGUGAGUGAUGAAGGUCUUCGGAUCGUAAAACUCUGUUAUUAGGGAAGAACAAAUGUGUAAGUAACUAUGCACGUCUUGACGGUACCUAAUCAGAAAGCCACGGCUAACUACGUG
rnacentral:rRNA from 1 species